rnacentral:rRNA from 1 species
AGUUGGAAUCCGGCUGCCCUAGGUAGUUGGAGUUGUAAACUGGAGAAGUGUUUUCCAGGCGAGCCAAGCGAAUAAGUCCUUUGGAACGGGGCAUCAUAGAGGGUGAGAAUCCCGUCUUUGGCUUGAGCUAUUCGUCUAUUGCGAUACACUUUCAAAGAGUCAGGUUGUUUGGGAAUGCAGCCUAAAUUGGGUGGUAAAUCUCACCUAAAGCUAAAUAUUGGCGAGAGACCGAUAGCGAACAAGUACCGUGAGGGAAAGAUGAAAAGAACUUUGAAAAGAGAGUUAAACAGUAUGUGAAAUUGUUGAAAGGGAACCGUUUGGAGCCAGACCGGCCGUUCUAUAAUCAAUCUCUGCCUCGGUGGGGAUGCACUUGUAGGGCGUUGGCCUGCCAACAGCAAUUUUGCCUGAUGGAAAAAACUAAAAGGAAUGUGGCCCCUCGGGGUGUUAUAGCCUUUUGGAAAAUACAUUGGGCGGGAUUGAGGACUGCAGCAAAUGCUCUUUAUU